AGUGAACGCUGGCGGUAGGCCUAACACAUGCAAGUCGAACGGCAGCACAGUAAGAGCUUGCUCUUACGGGUGGCGAGUGGCGGACGGGUGAGGAAUACAUCGGACUCUACUUUUUCGUGGGGGAUAACGUAGGGAAACCUACGCUAAUACCGCAUACGACGUACGGGUGAAAGCAGGGGAUCUUCGGACCUUGCGCGAAUGAAUGAGCCGAUGUCGGAUUAGCUAGUUGGCGGGGUAAAGGCCCACCAAGGCGACGAUCCGUAGCCGGUCUGAGAGGAGGGUCGGCCACACUGGAACGGAGACAGGGUCCAGACUCCUACGGGAGGGAGCAGUGGGGAAUAUUAGACAAUGGGCGCAAGCCUGACCCAGCCAUCCCGCGUGGGUGAAGAAGGCCUUCGGGUUGUAAAGCCCUUUUGUUGGGAAAGAAAAGCAGUAGGCUAAUACCCCGCUGUUCUGACGGUACCCAAAGAAUAAGCACCGGCUAACUUCGUG
rnacentral:rRNA from 1 species